UAGGAAUCCGAGUGGUUAGUGGUAUCUGC
rnacentral:piRNA from 1 species